UACGUAGGCAGCGAGCGUUGUUCGGAAUCACUGGGCGUAAAGGGUGCGUAGGCGGGUCUUUAAGUCAGGGGGGAAAUCCUGGAGCUCAACUCCAGAACUGCCUUUGAUACUGAAGAUCUUGAGUUCGGGAGAGGUGAGUGGAACUGCGAGUGUAGAGGUGAAAUUCGUAGAUAUUCGCAAGAACACCAGUGGCGAAGGCGGCUCACUGGCCCGAUACUGACGCUGAGGCACGAAAGCGUGGGGAGCAAACAGG
rnacentral:rRNA from 1 species